rnacentral:snRNA from 1 species
AUGCUCACUUCAGCAGCACAUGUACUAAAACGAACAAUGCAGAGAAGAUUACCGUGGCCCCUGUGCAAGGAUGGCAUGCAAAUUCGUGAACCAUUCGGUAUUUUA